CUCACACACACACAUACACACACACACACACACACACACUCACUCUCUCUCACUCACACACACACACACACACAAAAAUAAAAACAAAAACAACAACAUUUGGGAAAUAUUUUAUGUACUUCAACAUUAACACAAAAAUGAAUUUCCAGGAAAGAUUCAGGUCCAUUUUAAAUAAAAGCUCCAGUUUACAAAUGCAGAGACCAUAUUUAUUCCAUGAGACAUCGAUUACUGACGGUAAGAUUCAUACAAAUAAACUCUUCCAUUCAAACGCUCAUCUGGAAAUGUAAUAAAAGCGCGAGUGUGUGGAGAUGAGAGGCUGGCGAUGAUCAAACACACUGAUGGAGUUCUGCUGAAGCGGGAUGUCGUUGACGGAGGACAGCGCUUUCAUUCGAGCGGACAAACAGAUUCUCAUGGCCACAGCUCUCAUCCCGUAACAGUACAAAAGCGUGAUUACACAGGUCACAGACACACAGGAAUGCUGGGAGAACGGGCUCCUCUCAACAACAAAGAGCAGAUUGACACGCGGCUCAACUAAUGCAGCCUCGUCUGGCACGUCUGGAAGGGAGGGCUGUAGAGGUGCAGAGAGACGGCGGUCUCCGUGUGGCUCACGUUCUCCACUCGAUGAAGGCCGAUGGAGUCUGAAACACACAGCGAGUGAAUCCGGUCAGAGACACUUCAGACCCAAGGCUCUGACUGAUCAGGACUCACGCCGCUCCUCUCACCGUUGAUGUAGGCGCACUGGUUCUCCAGCAGCACGCGCUGGGACUUCUGCUGCAUGCCCCCCUGCAGCUUGCGGUCAGGCCAGUCGAACAGCGUCUCCUUCAGCUGACCCUGGAGCAGCUUCAGGAAGCAGUGCGAGUCCGUGUGAUCGUGGAUGCUGCUGCAAGCGUGCCAAACACAGGCCAACUCAGAAACACUCCUUCAUCAUAACUAGCGGUUCUUAGCUGCUUCAUUUGUUCAGAGUUAUUAUGGGUCAAAGACAAAACGAGUGUCACGUCUAAUCUAGUGAUUUUAUACACACUGGAAUCAGUGCAAGUCAGGUGUCCACUUUAAUGUUUCAAAUAACGUCUGUGAAAACAAACUGUAAAAAUAUGGCUGAAAUAAUGCUGAUCCUCAUUCAGCUUGACGGAUAUAUUUGUGAAAAAUGAAACAGCACACUUAUUCUGACCUGUGCUUAUUAACAUAUAAGAAAAAAUAUGCGAUCAUACUAAAUUUUACUAUAAAAAUCUUGAUGACAACCUAGAGGUGUGAGCAAAGUUUAGCAAAAAUUUUAAAUUGCAUUUAAUUACUAUUUUGGGGCUGAACUGUGAUCUUAAACAGUCUUUAAUGAUUCUGGUGUGGAAGCCAGUUUCUGACAAUGAAUUAAAAAAAAUCAGGAAAUUGUGAAUUUUUAUCUCAUAAUUCUGACUUUAUCCCCUCACAAAAUAUUUUCUUAAAGUUGUGAUUUUAUAUCUCACUAUUCUGAGAAAAAAAGUCAGAACUGCGAAAUAAAAAGUUGCACUUAUCUUGUUCAGAUUUUUCAGUAUAUAAACUAUUGUUACACUGAAUGACAUUUAAAUGUGUUUUCUGUAAAUCAUGGUGAGAAUCUAUGACAGACAUGAGCUUAUGCUUCUUCCUACUCCUUUUCAAACAUGUAUAAUUUUAUAGUUUUGUGUUAUUUAUGACUAUAUGUGUAUGUAUGUGU
ensembl:lncRNA